ACGUAGGGUGCGAGCGUUAAUCGGAAUUACUGGGCGUAAAGCGUGUGUAGGUGGUUAGAUAAGUUAGAUGUGAAAUCCCCGGGCUUAACCUGGGCACUGCGUUUAAGACUGUUUAGCUAGAGUACUGUAGAGGAUAGUGGAAUUUCCAGUGUAGCGGUGAAAUGCGUAGAUAUUGGAAGGAACACCAGUGGCGAAGGCGACUAUCUGGACAGAUACUGACACUGAGACACGAAAGCGUGGGGAGCAAACAGGA
rnacentral:rRNA from 1 species